GAGAGCACCACAGAGAGAGACAGCAGCAGCAAACCACAGACAGCACUACUACUGUCCCCCUCUCUCUCUCUUCUCUCUCCACUGCUACAGUCCCCCCCUCCACCUUUCCUCUCCACUACUACUGUCCCUCUCUCCACCUCUUCUCUCUCCACUGCUACAGUCCCCCCCUCCACCUUUCCUCUCCACUACUACUGUCCCUCUCUCCACCUCUUCUCUCUCCCCUGCUACAGUCCCCCCCUCCACCUUUCCUCUCCACUACUACUGUCCCUCUCUCCCUCUCUUCUCUCUCCCCUGCUACAGUCCCCCCCCCCUCUACCUUUCCUCUCCACUACUACUGUCCACCUCUUCUCCACUUCUUCUCUCUCUGUGUCUCCCUUGUUCACCUUGUCUGGUCAGUGUGGAUGUGAGAUGGGUUGUGGAUAUUCCUCAACGACCAGCACGGCUGGAGGAGGUCCAGCUGAAGCCUCCAGAGAAGAAGUCACAGAGGAGUCUGCACAAGAAGAAGAAAAAAGGAUGAACUAUGGAGGUGUGUAUGUGGGACUACCAGCAGACCUGAGCACUAUGCCUCCUAUCCAGAUGGGAACACACCAAGAUGAGUGAAGCAUCAUUGAAACAACUUUCACUAAAGGUAUGAUGUCAACAGCCCCGAUCUCAAUAUCAGAUGUCAAUAUCCUAUGUUAAACUCUCUGCCUCAAUCUCAGAAGUUCAUCUUUUGGGACUCUCACACCCACUACAGAGAGAGAGAGAGAGAGAGGGAGAACUGUCAGGAUAAUGAUGUCAGCAAGAAUGAAGGAAGGAAUUGUUCUCUUUGAUCUCUGAUUGGCUCCAUGGGACCCAGUAGAACCUCUAGGGGACCAAUCAUCUCCCUCUCUCUCUCCAUAGGAACUGAACUGGGAUCAGUUUCUAAGGUGAAUGAUCAGACCAUGGGUCAAAUGCUCACCAUGGAUGUGACUGCUCAGGAAUCAGCGUCGUGUUAAUAGGCACAAAACGGAAUAAAAAAGUCCAAAACGAAAUGGAAGUGGGAGGUACUAUCUGAACUUGUUCAAUAAGAAAUACUUGUUUUCAUUUGUGUUAAACAAAAUUUGAAAACAGGCACCCUAAUGAACACGACCCAGGUCAAAGGGCAUCACGGAUGUUGGAGUCGGCAUUCACCACUCAGGAUCAUGAGACAAGGCAACCUUCUACUCAGAACUAAAUGUCAGACUGGAUCAGAUAGGCCUAUUCAGAUCUCAGCAAUACCAAGAAACAAGACCUCUCUCAGAACUCCUAUUCAAAUAUUUCUUGAUUUUUUUCUCUCUGUCUCUGAGUCAAUAGUUCUCAGAAAUUAUCUCUAUAGGAGCUGGAUCAAAUGUUCCCCAUUUGUAUCAUUGGCCGAAUAGAGAAUAAUCUUUCUUCACUCAAUAUGUAGUCAUAUGUACAGUCGUGGCCAAAAGUUUUGAGAAUGACACAAAUAUUAAUUUCCACAAAGUUUGCUGCUUCAGUGUCUUUAGGUAUUUUUGUCAGAUGUUACUAAGGAAUACUGAAGUAUAAUUACAAGCAUUUCAUAAGUGUCAAAGGCUUUUAUUGACAAUUACAUGAAGUUGAUGCAAAGAGUCAAUAUUUGCAGUGUUGACCCUUCUUUUUCAAGACCUCUGCAAUCCACCCUGGCAUGCUGUCAAUUAACUUCUGGGCCAGCCCAUUGGCAGCCCAUUCUUGCAUAAUCAAUGCUUGGAGUUUGUCAGGAUUUGUGGGGUUUUGUUUGUCCACCCACUUCUUGAGGAUUGACCACAAGUUCUCAAUGGGAUUAAGGUCUAUCGAUGUUUUGUUCCCCGAGCCACUUAGUUAUCACUUUUGCCUUAUGGCAAGGUGCUCCAUCAUGCUGGAAAAGGCAUUGGUCAUCACCAAACUGUUCCUGGAUGGUUGGGAGAAGUUGCUCUCGGAGGAUGUGUUGGUACCAUUCUUUAUUCAUGGCUGUGUUCUUAGACAAAAUUGUGAGUGAGUCCACUCCCUUGGCUGAGAAGCAACCCAUUUACAUUUACAUUUAAGUCAUUUAGCAGACGCUCUUAUCCAGAGCGACUUACAAACCCCACACAUGAAUGGUCUCAGGAUGCUUUACUGUUGGCAUGACACAGGACUGAUGGUAGCGCUCACCUUGUCUUCUCCGGACAAGCUUUUUUCCGGAUGCCCCAAACAAUCUGAAAGGGGAUUCAUCAGAGAAAAUGACUUUACCCCAGUCCUCAGCAGUCCAAUCUCUGUACCUGCAGAAUAUCAGUCUGUCCCUGAUGUUUUUCCUGGAGAGGAAAGGGCUUCUUUGCUGCCCUUCUUGAUACCAGGCCAUCCUCCAAAAGUCUUCGCCUCACUGUGCGUGCAGAUGCACUCACACCUGCCUGCUGUCACUCUUCAUAACAUUCUGGAGUAUAUGCAAAUUGCCAUCAUACAAACUGAGGCAGCAGACUUUGUGAAAAUUAAUAUUUGUGUCAUUCUCAAAACUUUUGGCCACGACCGUAUUUUUUCUUUUCUUGAAUGUAUUCCAACAUGUUAACUAUUUUCACAACAUAGUUUCCACAUUCUUAAAUAAAUCUUGUGGAAAUGCA